GACUCUCAUCACCAGGGGCACAACUUGUGCUUCUGCCCAUGGGCAUGGCUACUUACCAACCCAAGAGUGCCAGCUGAGACUAUGGUAAGUGCUGGGAAGAACUCCAAAGGCCUGGAUUGAAGAGAGGAGAUGUAAUGCCCAUACAUGGGGGUAAAAACAGCACGAGACACUGAUUGGGAAUCAUACAUUCAGCCUACAGCCAUUAAAGGGAAACAGUGGAGCUGAUUCAGAUGCUUUCUUAGGAGGAGGGGGUAGAGAGCCCUGAGAAGUGUCUGGGUUAUGUAGAGACUUCUAAAGUGGGAAUGCUUUAUCAAUCCUUACUGCUGAGUGCCCUGGGACCUUUUUUGGAAGCAAAUCAGCUUAGACCUGGCAGAAGUGGACGAGAAGGGUGGUUUGAAUUCUGCCACUGCAGCCGGCACAGAUCCUCAGCGCUGACUGCCUUUGGAGUCAGACAGAAAACAGGAGCUGAUGCAAAGUGUGUUUUCCAGCCAUCACCCUUUGUCCGAGGGCAUCGAUUCCCUAAACACCAUCAGUGUGAUGGAAACAAACGUGAGCCCCUUUGUUCUGCUUUUAUUAGCUGCUAAUGAGCUCCGUGAAACCCAGCAAAAGGGUGUUACCAGUUUAUGACUCUGCCAAGGUAGAGCUGCAUGUGGGAAUGAAGCCUUGUUUAAUCAGGUUUUGUAACUACUUUGAUACAAUUUUAGCUGAAGCGUGUUCAGUCAAGCAGUUCCUGGUUUAAUGCACAUACUGUUUCAAAUUUAGUAGCAGGUUUCAGAAAUCACCAAAUUCCUCUUCAAUAACCACUUUUUACCUUGCACACUGAUCAUCUACAAACGUGCCUGUAGUAACUGUACAUUGUGGUUUUUAUUUUUUUUUUUUUUUUUUUACUUAGGAAACCGGUUUUAGAUAUCAAAUCUCCCUUGAAGUUACUGAAUUUCUGAGUAGGUUUUAAAGAUGAAAAAGAUUCAAUCCUCAGUUUGAGCUCCUGGUAGAGGCAGGUGAGCACAGCAGAACUUUUCCCUCUCUGGUAUCACAAGCAUGGCUCAGUUUUACAGGGUUUUCUUGACUUCCCUCUUAGAUCUAGAGGAGGAAUAUCUUCCACGGAGAGGUGUAGCAGGGACAGGGCUGUUUGAGAGCAGGAGCAGCCAAGGGGAGCUCCCAGGUUCCAAGCUCUCAGCAGUGACAGCCUGAUACCAGGGCACACCUCACUACUGGGAGCACACACAGGCUGCACAGAGUUUGGGGCAAUGGAAGGUUGUUAUUGACAGGCAGUGGGAAAGUUUAUGCCUUGUGUUUGCAAUUACAGUUGAGCAAAUAUACAGUGAAAUUGUACUUUAUCCUCUUUGUCCAGUUGCUAAACACCCAGCUUUCUUCCCCAAGAAUCAUACCUGUUUCUCUUGACUUCUUGAUUUAAUAUCUAUAACCAAGGCACUUAUCAAUUACUCCAAGGAUUUAUAGAACUGCUUUUUGGUUUUGUUUUACUUAAAAAACCAAAAAACCAAAACCAACCAAAAACAACUCACCCCCCACCCAGAUUUUAAAGUGCUUCUGAGGGGAAAAAAAAAAAAAAAAAAAAAAAAAAGCUGGGGUUUUGGGUUUUUUUCCCUGAGAAGGGAACAUCUUAUAAUUAGGAAAAACAAGGAAUUCAUGUUUGUAGCAAGUGAAUUAUAGCCUCCAAAGUAGCUUGAACGUUUUCAGUUGAAAGCUGCUUUGGAAGCUUAACAUGCGAUUAAUUUUUGAAGUAUGCCUGGACUAUCAAGAAGUUAAUUGAUGGAGUGUGAGCUAUACCCACUUAAAAGGCACAGACAGGGAAAUCAGUGCAUUCUCUGUGAGAGGCUCUUAAUGAUUUCCUUUCAGAGAAUGUGCACACUAUCUUAAUUAUACAGGAGCCUACGUAAAGGUACCAUUGGAUUGAGUCCAGUGAAAGCUAAAACAAACAAUAUGACAACAAAAAGGGCACUUGCGUCAUUUCACUUUAGUAUUUAUAAGACAAACAAUAACUAGCAAAUAAAAAGCUCCUAGCCUAUGGUGUGCUUACAGUGCCAGGAUACUUAUUGCUUC